rnacentral:misc_RNA from 1 species
UUCUCCUCACCCACAGGUGGCAAGUUAUGGUGUGAAGCCAAGAUAUGGUCUAGUGACAUAUGCCACAUACCCCAAAAUUUGGGUCAAAGUGUCUGAAGCAGACAGCAGUAAUGCAGACUGGGUCACGAAGCAGCUCAAUGAAAUCAAUUAUGAAGACCACAAGUUGAAGUCAGGGACUAACACCAAGAAGGCCCUCCAGGCAGUGUACAGCAUGAUGAGCUGGCCAGAUGACGUCCCUCCUGAAGGCUGGAACCGCACCCGCCAUGUCAUCAUCCUCAUGACUGAUGGAUUGCACAACAUGGGCGGGGACCCAAUUACUGUCAUUGAUGAGAUCCGGGACUUGCUAUACAUUGGCAAGGAUCGCAAAAACCCAAGGGAGGAUUAUCUGGAUGUCUAUGUGUUUGGGGUCGGGCCUUUGGUGAACCAAGUGAACAUCAAUGCUUUGGCUUCCAAGAAAGACAAUGAGCAACAUGUGUUCAAAGUCAAGGAUAUGGAAAACCUGGAAGAUGUUUUCUACCAAAUGAUCGGUAGGGAGAUACAAGGGAAUAAAGAACACAACUCUCCUCAG